rnacentral:tRNA from 1 species
GCGGGUAUGGCGGAAUUGGCAGACGCGCUAGAUUCAGAUUCUAGUGAAGGAGACUUUGUGCAGGUUCAAAUCCUGUUAUCCGCACCA